rnacentral:ncRNA from 1 species
AUGAUAGAGGUGCGAUAUUCAUCAGUACUCCGGGACAAGUGGCAGGACAGCCGUUUUGGAGAAAAGGGAAGAUCGCCGAAGAGCUAUAUUCCGGUCCAUGGAAUUAGCUCUGGGACGCAGCAGAAUAUGUUGCGGACUGUCACUGAUAUGUGGAGCGCUAUCUGA